GAUGAAGAACGUAGCGAAAUGCGAUAAGUAAUGUGAAUUGCAGAAUUCAGUGAAUCAUCGAAUCUUUGAACGCACAUUGCGCCCUCUGGUAUUCCGGGGGGCAUGCCUGUUCGAGCGUCAUUAUAACCACUCAAGCUCUCGCUUGGUAUUGGGGUUCGCGGUUUCGCGGCCCCUAAAAUCAGUGGCGGUGCCUGUCGGCUCUACGCGUAGUAAUACUUCUCGCGAUUGAGUUCGUUAGGUCUACUUGCCAGUAACCCCCAAUUUUUACAGGUUGACCUCGGAUCAGGUAGGGAUACCCGCUGAACUUAAGCAUAUCAAUAAGCGGAGGA
rnacentral:misc_RNA from 1 species